GGAUGGGGAGGGGGCGAUUUAUAGGGCGUUUCGGUGGUUCGCAUGGUUUGUCGGGGUGGUUAGAGGUUUCAUGGUCACUGCGUCAUGUGAAGGCGGGCUUUACGUGCUGUUGAUGUGCAUGGGAAUCGGUCAUGGUCAAUAUCGUUGACCAGGCCCCAAGAGUAUGAUUCGUUUCCCUCAACGCCACCUCUGCCAUAGAUAGCCUUCCCUUCUCUCUACCCAAAGAGCAAGCAUCUCCCAUGGCUUCACCAUACUGCGGCCUUCCUCGAAUCCACUUCUUGUCCACAAAACCUUACAGGAAAUCAAUCAGAUCAGCGCCUUCUCCUCGCCUUUCGACGCAACAGGAAGCGCCAUCGAGGAAGAGAUGCCUCAGAUGCGGAGAGCUUUACCAAGACAGUGACAACUCCCCCACAGCUUGCUCCUUCCAUGGCCACACGACAGGGGAGAAAGGGCUGUUCUCGUUGGCGCCGCCGCAUCAGGGGAUCGACGGGGAGUGGAGCGACAGAAGCGGCGUGAUCGUCUACAGGUGGAACGCGAAGGAGAACAGGCCGAACACGGGGAGCGCCAACUGGAAGAAGAGAUGGAGCUGCUGCGCCGAGUACGACGAGAACGCGCCGCCGUGUCGACGGGGGCGGCAUGUCUCCUACGACGACGGCUUCACCCUCUACUGAUUUCCCCUGGUGAUCCACCAUUACGGCACUGAGUGGCUGAGACUGAAGAGUAUCGCAAGCCACCUUAUCCGAUAGAGGUGAAGGAAAUUACAGGUAAUUAAUUAAUUAGACGAAAAUUACGAGUAAUGAUAUCAUGAAAUGUCAAAUUGCUGACAUUAGUCCACAACCGUCCAUCCGACUCUUCAUUUGAUCUCAAUCGUCCGUAUAUGGAUCAAAUAAAGUGAACGGUUCGGAUUAAAAAGGUGUUUAUAACGUUUGCGUUCCUCCCCCCGUCUUCCGUUGCGUUGGUCUCUCGUCCGUGGAAGAUAGAAAACAGGGCCUACCCGCCUCGUGAUUCAAUAUAGAAAUGGGCCCCGCUGUGAUUCCAUGCGUCAUGUGAACUCACAAGGCAGGUAAGAAAGUCGGUAAUUAAACUGGUAGACCAAUGCGUUCCAUGGUAUUCUUCACCCAACGACAAGUAACGAGGACUUAAGAUCCGACGGUUAUGGGUGUUCUGAUGAGAUCUGACGGUGAGCAUACAAUGAUCUCCGCAGACGCACGUACGUGCGCUACUUCAAAUAAUCAUGAAGAAUCGCCUCCGCGCGCGCGCUGUUGCUUUUCCUAUCGCCUCUCUGUCUCGUCUCCCAGGAAAAGAGGGGAAAGGGGGAGACGCUUCGGAAGGGUCAUUUUGUCAGCAUGGCAUGGCGAAACAGGGUAAUUACCCGACUGUCAUGCAGAAAGUUGCUUGUCAACUCCACCUCAGGUCCACCUUUUCUCGAGAGAGGCUGCACAUAUGGGGUGUUUCAGAAGCCAUCGAUGCAGAAAAGGCGUUGCGAGCUUUGCUAUUGAUUUCCCUAUGGGAGGAGUUUCUGCUGUUGUUUCAAAGACGGCUGCAGCUACUAUUGAACGUGUGCUACUGCUGAUCGCCUCCUUUGCCGGAACAAUUAAAGAUGAAGGUGCUUUGUCUUUGUGGAGAGGGAACACAGCUAAUGAUGUCAUUUGUUAUUUUCCCACUCAGGUAAAUGUAUACGUGGUUAUGUUAUGUGUCAUAUGACCUCCGGAGAAGCUGUCAAGUAGCUGUUCGACGAUGCUGGCGCGAACAAACUCCGUGCCGUAGCUGGUUCUGGUGUUCUUGCCGGUUACGACAAGCAGCAGUUGAUUGUCUUCAAUAGUUUUCGGUAGUGGGAGCUGCUUCCUACAUUUCUGUCAGGUGGAGUUUUGCUCACCAAAAUCUUGGUUAAUCUAUGAUUAUUGGAUACUGCUGCGUUGCAGUGAUGUCCGCAAUAUGUUGCCUUUGUUCUACGAAUUCCUAAUUUUAUUUUUUUCCUUUUCUAUGGGAUGACAAUUGACAAGAGAUAAAAUUACUUUUGCAAUGCGUUAUUUUCCUCUCA